rnacentral:rRNA from 1 species
GACGAACGCUGGCGGCGUGCUUAACACAUGCCAGUCGAACGGAAAGGCCCUGCUUGCAGGGUACUCGAGUGGCGAACGGGUGAGUAACACGUGGGUGAUCUGCCCUGCACUUCGGGAUAAGCUUGGGAAACUGGGUCUAAUACCGGAUAGGACCGCACUUUAGUGUGUGUGGUGGAAAGUUUUUUCGGUGUAGGAUGAGCUCGCGGCCUAUCAGCUUGUUGGUGGGGUAAUGGCCUACCAAGGCGGCGACGGGUAGCCGGCCUGAGAGGGUGUACGGCCGCAUUGGGACUGAGAUACGGCCCAGACUCCUACGGGAGGCAGCAGUGGGGAAUAUUGCACAAUGGGCGCAAGCCUGAUGCAGCGACGCCGCGUGGGGGAUGAAGGCCUUCGGGUUGUAAACUCCUUUCGCUAGGGACGAAGCUUUUUGUGACGGUACCUAGAUAAGAAGCACCGGCUAACUACGUG